rnacentral:rRNA from 1 species
UACGUAGGGGGCAAGCGUUGUCCGGAUUUAUUGGGCGUAAAGAGCGUGUAGGCGGCCAUACAGGUCAGCUGUGAAAACUCGAGGCUCAACCUCGAGACGUCGGUUGAAACCGUAUGGCUAGAGUCCGGAAGAGGAGAGUGGAAUUCCCGGUGUAGCGGUGAAAUGCGCAGAUAUCGGGAAGAACACCGGUGGCGAAGGCGGUUCUCUGGGCCUUACCUGACACUGAGGAGCGAAAGCGUGGGGAGCGAACAGG